GACAGAGGUGCCGAGCGUUAGGCGGAAUCACUGGGCUUAAAGCGUGUGUAGGCGGACUUCUAAGUACCUUGUGAAAUCCCACGGCUUAACCGUGGAACUGCUUGGUAUACUGGUUGUCUUGGGCCAUCUAGGGGCUACUGGAACAAACGGUGUAGCGGUGAAAUGCGUAGAUAUCGUUUGGAACGCCAAUGGUGAAAACAAGUAGCUGGGGAUGUGCCGACGCUGAGACACGAAAGCCAGGGGAGCGAACGGG
rnacentral:rRNA from 1 species